UAGGAAAAAAAAAUCCCCGGACCGCUCCGGCCGUGUCCGCCGCCGCUUCCCGCAUCCUCUCUCGCCGCCGCCGCCUUCGCUCCUCACCAUGUGUAAGGCGGCGGGGAGCCCCGCCUGAGGUGCCCUAAACACACUAUGACCGCUCCCGAAAAGCCCGUGAAACAAGAGGAAAUGGCUGCCUUGGACGUGGACAGCGGCGGCAGCGGCGGCGGCGGCCACGGCGAGUAUAUGCAGCAGCAGCAGCACGGAAACGGCGCGGUGGCGGCGGCGGCGGCCCAGGACACUCAGCCGUCACCGCUUGCUCUGUUGGCCGCUACCUGCAGCAAGAUAGGGCCGCCAUCGCCCGGCGACGACGAGGAGGAGGCGGCCGCCGCUGCCGGGGCCCCAGCCGCCGCCGCCGGAGCGACAGGUGAUUUGGCUUCUGCACAGUUAGGAGGAGCACCAAACCGAUGGGAGGUUUUGUCAGCCACACCUACAACUAUAAAAGAUGAAGCUGGUAAUCUAGUACAGAUUCCAAGUGCUGCUACUUCGAGUGGGCAGUAUGUCCUUCCCCUUCAAAAUUUGCAGAAUCAACAAAUAUUUUCAGUUGCACCAGGAUCAGAUUCAUCAAAUGGUACAGUGCCCAAUGUUCAAUAUCAAGUAAUACCACAGAUUCAGUCAACAGAUGGUCAGCAGGUUCAGAUUGGUUUCACAGGCUCUUCAGAUAAUGGGGGUAUAAAUCAAGAAAGCAGUCAAAUUCAGAUCAUUCCUGGCUCUAAUCAAACCUUACUUGCCUCUGGAACACCUCCUGCUAAUAUCCAGAAUCUCAUACCACAGACUGGUCAAGUCCAGGUUCAGGGAGUUGCAAUUGGUGGUUCAUCUUUUCCUGGCCAAACCCAAGUAGUUGCUAAUGUGCCUCUUGGUCUGCCAGGAAAUAUUACCUUUGUACCAAUCAAUAGUGUCGAUCUAGAUUCUUUGGGACUCUCGGGCAGUUCUCAGACAAUGACUGCAGGCAUUAAUGCCGAUGGACAUUUGAUAAACACAGGACAAGCUAUGGAUAGUUCAGACAAUUCAGAAAGGACUGGUGAGCGGGUUUCUCCUGAUAUUAAUGAAACUAAUACUGAUACAGAUUUAUUUGUGCCAACAUCCUCUUCAUCACAGUUGCCUGUUACGAUAGAUAGUACAGGUAUAUUACAACAAAAUACAAAUAGCUUGACUACUUCUAGUGGGCAAGUUCAUUCUUCAGAUCUUCAGGGAAAUUAUAUCCAGUCGCCUGUUUCCGAAGAGACACAGGCUCAGAAUAUUCAGGUUUCUACAGCACAGCCUGUUGUACAACAUCUACAGCUUCAAGAUUCUCAGCAGCCAACCAGUCAAGCCCAAAUUGUGCAAGGUAUUACACCACAGACAAUCCAUGGUGUGCAAGCCAGUGGUCAAAAUAUAUCACAACAGGCUUUGCAAAAUCUUCAGUUGCAGCUGAAUCCUGGAACCUUUUUAAUUCAGGCACAGACAGUGACCCCUUCUGGACAGAUAACUUGGCAAACAUUUCAAGUACAAGGGGUCCAGAACUUGCAGAAUUUGCAAAUACAGAAUACUGCUGCCCAACAAAUAACUUUGACGCCUGUCCAGACACUCACGCUUGGUCAAGUUGCAGCAGGUGGAGCCUUGACUUCAACUCCAGUUAGUCUAAGCACUGGUCAGUUGCCAAAUCUACAGACAGUUACAGUAAACUCUAUAGAUUCUACUGGUAUACAGCUACAUCCAGGAGAGAAUGCUGACAGUCCUGCAGAUAUUAGGAUCAAGGAAGAAGAACCUGAUCCUGAAGAGUGGCAGCUCAGUGGUGAUUCUACAUUGAAUACCAAUGAUCUAACACACUUAAGAGUACAGGUGGUAGAUGAAGAAGGGGACCAACAACAUCAAGAAGGAAAAAGACUUCGGAGGGUAGCUUGCACCUGUCCCAACUGUAAAGAAGGCGGUGGGAGGUAUGCAUACAUGAACCAUACUCCUUAUGUUUUUGUUUUUGUGUUUGUUUGUUUUUAAGAGUACUAAUAUCACCACCCUAAAUUUUUAAAAUAUCGCAUGCCAUGUCACUUAAUUUGGAAAAUUAUUCAUUACAUGAUCAUUUUUGGGUGUGUGACUAUAAAAGAGUGUGAUAUAAAUUAGAAAAUAAAAAUAUGAAAUUGAAUUUUCAGAUAUGAAUGCCUUUAAAACUAAAAUUAUGUAGUUUUUUAAAAACAAUGUAACAGAUGCAAUUUUAUUGGCCCAUAUUAGAAAUAAUACUGUUAGCAGACUAGCAAUGGGUUUUGCUUAAAUACAGAUUAAAAAAAUUCUUGAGUAUUACAGUUACAUAAAAAUAUUGUUUUUAUUAGAAAAUUCAGAAAUAGCUGAUAAGCACAAACAUUUUCAUUUUCAACAGAAAUGGGAAUAAAUGGCCUGAUUGGGGGGGUGGAUUUUUUUUAGUAUUUCAAGUCAGUUUUUUUUUUUUUAAACACUAAGACAAUUACAUGACAGGAAUAAACUCAAACCAUUAGUAUUUGUGUCAGAUGUUAAGCUUAUUGACUAAGAGACUGUGACUCAUUUUUAAACAACACCUCAAAUAAUUGAUGUAGCAAUGUUGAAGAUGAUGCAUAAAUUAUGCAUCAGGUCAACUUUUGAGAAAGAGAAAACUUGGAUAGCAGUAUUGUUAUCAGGCAAGAUGGGAUUAAGGUUUAAAGCUUCAAGUGGACAGACAUGGAUAUAUUUCUUGUUAAUAAUAUCAAGUUUCCAUCAAACAAAUUUAAUAUUCAUAGUACUUUUUUCUAUAGCUUUGAAAUACAUGAGCAAAAACUGGUAGAACUGUAAAGCUAUACUGAACAAUUUCUUGGUCAUAGUGAAAGGUCUUAACACACUACUGUUAAGUACAGUUUAAGUGACAAAAUAUACUGUAAAAUAGAAGGGUGUAUAUAAAUAUAUGCAGUUUAUCUGACAAGAUCAACUUUCUCUGCCUUUUUGGAUUGGUCUUAUUAGCUGAUUUGUACACUGGCCAGCCCAUUUGCAAUACUACUACAACUGCUGCUAUUACUACUACUACUAAUAGCUAAUAUCUGCUAACAUUGUGAACUUAAUAUAUUCCAGUAUGUCUUAUAAGUGAGCUAUAGAGAAGAACAAACAAAUACUUACUCCAAAGAUUUUGCCAUUAUACUACUAUCUAUAGAGUGAAUCUGCUUUUGCAUUAUAUCCUUAGGUGUUUGCAUUUAUUGUAAUCAGUUGUUUUAAAUUUAUUUGUUCAAAAAAAUUCUUGUUAGGCAAUAACUUCUGAAAUUCUUAUUUUAGAGAACUUAUGAAAAUCAAAUCUAAUUGUAGACCUAGGCCUGGCCUGUUUCAUUUGUUCUUUAAAGUAAAAAUCUUUUAAUUAAUUGCUAUGUGCUAAACUAACAUAUAUUCCUAAAAAUUCAGCAAUAUGGAAUAAUAUUUUUAAAACUCCAAAAUCCUAACCUACUUUAAUAUUAACCACUAUAGCACUUUGUUAUGUAUCCUUUCAGAUAUUACAUGUAUUUUAAAGUAGAAUCAUUAUCUCCUCACUGUUUUAUUUGUCUCUUCUUAUUUUGAAAACUUUGUCACCAUAUUUCCAAGUCGAGUUUGUAUCAUUUUUAUGUCUGAAGUAUUCUAUUGCAUGAUGUGUAAUAAUUUAGUAUUUUCUUUUGUUGGGGCUUGUCAUAAUCCUCACAUAGGUCUUUGCAUAUUUGUCUGAUUAUCUCAUUAGUAUAAAUUGGCAGAACUAGAAUUGCUGGGUCAAAGAAUUUUCUGCUAGAAAGGCUGAAUCAAUUUCAACUCCCACCAGUGUUGUAUUAGAAUAUCUGCAUUUUCACAUCCUGACCAACACUGGAUUUUGUUAUUUUAUAUAUAUAUAUAUAUAUAUAUAUAUAUAUGUUGUAGAUGGACACAAUGCCUUUAUUUUAUUUGUUUAUUUAUAUUUGGUGCUGAGGAUCAAAUCCAGGGCCUUGUGCAAGCGAGGCAAGCGCUCUAUCACUGAGCUACAACCCCAGUCCCAAACACUGGAUUUUAAUCAUAUUUUUCAACCUUUUAAAGCUGACAUGUGAAAAUAAUAUCACUAUUGUUUUACUUGGCGAGGUUGAACAUUUUUUUGGUUGUUACUUUGCCAUUUAAAAAUUUCUUGUGAAUUGUUUGUCUUUUGUGAAUCUGUUAAUUUGUGUAUUAACUGUCAUGUGCAUAUAUUUUUUGCCGGUUUUAUAUUGCCUUCAGCUUUAUGUCGAUAGUUUGCAGAACGCAUUGUUAUAUAUAAGUAGUUCCAUCGUAUGGUUGACAGACUUUUUUUUAAACACAAAAUUUAAAUUGGUCAGUGUUUUAUUAGAUUCCUUGUUAUCAUGUGUUAAAAGCCCGAGAAUUAGAAAAAUAUUCACUCACUUUUUUCUAGGACAAUUUUUACUUUGUUUUAAAAAAUAGCUUCCUAUAAGUAAUAAAAAUCAAGGUUCUUAAGAAGAAAACUAUAUUGUCUAUUAAAACUCUUUUGAACAAUAUACAACUAGUGUGUGUGUGUGUGUGUGUGUGUAUGAGAUAGGAACACUUGUAUAAAUUGCAAUUGUUGCAUCUAAUUAGUAGAAGCACUAACAUAUUGUAAGUCCAAAAUAUUUCAUAACAUUCUGCAAGGAAGAGAAGUGGCAUGUAAGAUUUAAAAAAAAAAAAAAAUUGGCCCUUUUUUUCCCAAUCAUUUUCUUAAAAUUUUUCUUAAAAGAAUACGAGCAAGAUGGCAUUUUUUGAGAGUUAAUUUCAUUCAUCUUUAGAGAACUGAGUUUUGUUUCCCUUUUUGAGCAAGGUGUAAAAAUAAUAAAAACAUAUUCAUUUAGCCAAUAUUUAUUGAGCAGAACCAACCUUGAGAAACACCAGUAGAGGAGACAUCUUGAUUGUAAUAAAAUAAUAUAGAAUUCUAAAGACAUUAUUAUUGUGUAGGUUUUGUAUGCAUUAAAGCCUUGAUCCAUAUUUUUUAAUUUAAUUUGUAAAAUUUGUUUUGUCAGCAUUUAGUUUGUCUUGUUUUCUCCCACCCUAACCAAGAGAAACUAGAUUUAUUCAACUUUUCUUAACUCCACCCAGAAUUUUGCAUUAUUUAUUCUGUGUGGUCAUUAAAUCACUAUGCACUUACGAAUAGAAACUUAAAAUUGUUAGUUUUUUAGGUUAUCUAAUAGGUGCUAGUGGCUAUAUAAUAGGUAUUAGUGGUAUCUAAUUAUGUGUCAGUCAAGAAGAAGAGUUAUAAGCCGGGCACAAUGGCACACGCCUGUAAUCCCAGUGGCUCAGGAGGCCGAGAUAGGAGGAUCGUGAGUUCAAAGCCAGCCUCAGCAACUGCGAGGCUGCUAAGGAAUCAGUGAGACCCUGUCUCUAAAUAAAAUACAAAAUAGGGCUGAGGAUAUGGUUCAGUGGUCAAGUGCUCCUGAGUUCAGUCACCCUCCCCCGCAAAAAAGAUGUGUGAAUCUUUUCUUUGUUGAGAAAUUCACUUCAGUCCUUUUCCCUUCCAUCAUAGGACAUGGCAAAAAUUCAUAUCUAGCAUAUUUAGAUCUUAAUCUUGAAUCAAAUACCCCCACCUUUUCUUUUUUGUGGUGCUUGGGAUUGAACCCAGCACUUCAUACAUGUUAGUCAAGUGCUCUACUGCCGAGCUACAGCCCUAGCCUCAAAUUUCCUUUUGAAGUGGAAACUUGGACUUGAAUGUUGAGCAUUUCCCUUAAAUUAUAGUAUUUAUGUAUGACUGUGCUCCAUUUUUUUCUUUCUUAGAUAGAUACUGAUCCCAUUUUAAACAGUGAAUAUUUCUCUUAUGAUUCAAUUGAAAAAUCUUUCCCUACUAAUUUUUUGGUUUUUUGAGAACCCAAAUUUGUUGUGUUGAGUUGUUAGAUUCUUAGGCUUUGUUAGUGCUCCCAGGCUAAAUUUUGCUGAGUUUGUGAAAUAACACUUUUGAGUUUAUAAAAAGCACAUUGAUUCACCUAAGUGGUAAUCUUAGAGGAGAGGCAAGAGGUCAUGAAUAUACAAGUGAACUGAAUUGGGUUGUCUGUGAAAUUGCUAUGGUGAACACAAUACGUAAAAUUGGUUUGUACACUACUAGCCACAAACAUUGCUGUUUUUCUUAGGGCUAUUAAGGAUAAAGCAAAUUUUUAAGAAGCUGAAUGAAAUGGAAACAAUCAAACUUUGGCAUUGCAAGUGAGCCAGAAAAACCUUUCACUCAGAAACCCAGCUCUUUGAAGAGAGUUGUAGAAAAUGGGGGUGGACUGGAGCAGGAACUAGAAUUGUGUUAGAUUAUGACAUCCUUGCCCUUGAGACAACAGCAUGACUCCUCCUUGUCUUUACUUAUGCUAUUCCUCUGCCUGGAAUGCCUUCCCUUCUUUCUAUCUAAAUCCUACCCACCUCCUCCACGAAGUCUUCUCUAACUACUGGAGCCCACAUUGAUGUCUCCCUGUUCAGAACACCUAUGGCACCUAACAGCCAGCACUGCACCGUUUAGCACUGUUUGUCCUAUGGCAAUUUCACAUGCUACUGAGUAGGUACCAAUCUUGGGAAAAAGAAGCAACACAUUUGUCAUAUACCAGGAUGUGGUAAAGUCUAUGGGAAGACCUCACAUCUGAGAGCGCAUCUGCGUUGGCAUUCUGGAGAGCGCCCUUUUAUUUGUAACUGGAU